CAUAUUCAUUUAGAAACAACACUACUAAUGUUUUAACUGAGGAAGAGUUCAGAAAUCAAUAUUUGGUGGAAUAACCAAGAGGUUUUCAUUGGGGCUCUGUGCAGUGGGCUCUUCAUUUUUCCAGAACUGUAUUUUGAAAUAAACAGAUGAAUUGUUGUGGUCAUAUUUAAAGCAGCAAAGGGGCAGUAAUGAGAACAGAAAACAUUUUAGAUCCAAAUAUGUUGAUCUGUACGCUUUCCAUUUCCUUAACCCCCUUCAUCUAGGUGUUUAACAUGAUAUCUUGCUAGUCAAGAUAUCAAUUUUGCAUAACUGAGAAGUGACACCCAUGAUAACUGACCCAGUAGUGACCAUGAAGGUAUGGCAACCAAAGCAAAAGGUUUCUUCAGCCACGUUUGGCCCAGCAUACAGGGAGAUUCGUGGACAUGGUCAGCAACAAUACUUUAAACAAUAAUCAACUGGUAGUAUGGAGCCCAAUGUAUGUUAAUAAAUAUGUUCCCCACACCAUUACUACCAGCCUUAACUGUUGGUAGAAGGUUGGAUGGAUCUUUGCAUUAUGUUGCAGCAGAAAUCUUAAUUCAUCAGACCAGACAACAUUUUUCCAAUACUGUGAAGUGUAGCCUCAGUCUCCUGUGUUUUGCUGCCAGGAGGUUUGCUGUUGUGGCGCCUCUCCUUCAAAGUUUGACAUAUUGCACAUUCAGAGAUGGUAUUCUGUUUACUUUGGUUGUAAAACGAUGUAAUUUGAAUAACUGUCUUGUUUCUUUAAUCUUGAAACAACCUGCAAAUUCUUCUGACAUAAACAGGACAUUUACGGUAUAUCCACACAACAGCCCUACCGACUUUUCAGACAAUUCUUUUUUGGUUGUGCAUAAAAAUCCCAGUAAACCAAAUGAUUCUGAAUUAUUUAAGACACUUGGAUUCACCUUCUUUUCUUGGUUUGAACUUCAACAAGUCUUCUUCAUUGCAUUUAUGCAUCGGGUUGCUGUCAUGCUAUAGUUUUCUAGUGGUGGCUGGUUAGUGUAUGUGACCUAUGCCAAAAGUGAGUAAUUCAAGAAUAUUAGAAAUAGGAUAAAAAAAAAUAUAUAUUUUCGUUUUAAAAAAAAAUAUUCCUGAUCAUAUUACAGCAUACCAUACAGGGGUAUGGUUGCCAACUAAAGCGAGAGUCGGAAGUAUGCAGAACAGGUUUGGACUGAUGCUUUAACUGAUGAAGACGUCACCGAGUAUGUUCUGAACAAAAACAAAACAUUGCCUCUCCAUAAUAUUACUAGGACUUCAAGUUCUCAAGAUUAAUGAGUCACGAUGUUCUUAUUGAAAUGGAUAUCUGAGAUCAUAUCGUACUAAUGAGACAAGCUCACAACAAGAACAUGACACAGUUGACAGUGUGCCAACUGCAAUACAAAUCGAUCUAAUGCAAAUAAUAAUAAAUCUUCUGUUUUCCAUUUUUUCCCCGUCAUACUGUUUGGGUUUUGUAUCUGCUAGCUUUCAAGGCAGUUGAGUAUUUUUAAGCGCAUGCCGCUCAGUUUGCCUGACACAGUAGAGUCAAUAUUAAUAGAGUGUUAUUUAAACCUCGGUUUAUACACAGAGGAGACCAAGAGUUAAUUAUUGACCAAGCUAAGGUGGGUGUCAAUAAAAAAUAAAAAAAGAACUAUGUCGAGAUCUGAGGGCUUACAAUUGUUAAACAGGCUAACCAGAAUGAAUACUGAAGCCAUAACAUUCUUCAUUUUUACACUGAAACUGCUGGGAAGGUAUUUUAAUACAAUCAUUAACCAGAACUCCCUCACGGACUACAAAAAGUAGCACAAAAUGCCUUCCUGUCUUGAGAGCUAUUGUUAAAGCAUUCUGCUUUUCCUUGGUAUUCCCUGGACUACUCUCAAGCUAAAAAUGAGCUCCCUACAAAUAUUUUGUUGCCCAAAGUAGAACAAAACUAGAUGCUACAUAGAUAUCAAAAAAGAAAAAGAACAAAAAAACAAAUCUACUUGAAUUUAUGGGCAUUUUUGGGUACAACUCAUCAAUAUUCACAACUGUGAGUCUUUCAAACAACAGAGUAAAUCUGCAAAAGACCAGAGAAGUUGACUUACAAAACAAUGUCACAAUAAUGCUACUACAUGUUACAGCUGAGCUGAUAAAGAUAUACAAGAGUGUGAUUAGUAAUUAGGAAUCAGGAAUCUUAAUUUUAAGGGCUGUAAUUUAUCUGAUAUAACAUUGGAAAACCAAAAAACCAACUUUUGUCAACGUUUAUUACACAUUAAAAUAAUUUACCCUCUUUGAUAAGAGGAAUAAAUUGUGUACCUAAUGGUGAAAUGGAGGACUUUUAAAGGAUGAUCUUAAGAUGUACUAUUUGAGUUUAUUGGUGAAUAAUAAAGUACAGCCUUGAAUAGGCUAUAAUGGUGUGUUGGCCUUCAACACAGCUAUAAAAGGUAUUAUUCAUCAUCUGCUCAGCCUGACCUCAAAGGUAGCAAAUAUUGGUUUGCUACCUUGUAGGCCAUUUUCCAAAUUGUGUUACAUUUAUGUUUCUUUUUCUAUGUGUAUUCUCCAUUAAUAUAUCGAAGAAAAUAUUUUAUGCAUUGAUGCCUUUUCUGAAAUAGGUCGUUGAGAUGAAGCUUGUAUGUCUGGAUUACAUUUGAUUUGAUUUUCUCAGUCUGGAUGAACCUAACAACCAAGUUAUUGCAAAAAAAAAAAAGGUUUAAUCUACAAUCAGGACAAUUUAGAGGAAUAAGUACUACGACAUGGACAAGUGACAAGAACAGCUGAAGUCAACGGAUUGGGUAGUUGGAGAGUGGAUGUAGACAUGCCUGCUGAGUACAAUGAAGAAAUAAUAAACAAAUAAGGCAAGGUUCUUUUCAGCUCAUCAAAUUUCCUGCCACUUUACGAAAACAUGUAUUUUAAUUCAAUAGUUCCUUCCAACUGACCUUAGGUGUAAGUGAGUGUGAACAUGAUUUUCUAUCUCUUUCUAGAUCUGUAAUAGAUUGGUGACCUGUCAGGGGUUUACCCAGCUUCUCGCCCAUUGACUAGUGUAAAUAACUCACAAUAUAUCUGCCGUCCUGCAAGGAAGAAGCAUGCAUAGAAAGUGAAUGGAUAACCAUAAGGAGCAGGCCACUGAACCUACUUUGGACACUUUUGACCUUUAGUAUUCCCUCGAGCAGCCUAAGCUCUCAAUGUAAAGAAACCCAACUGAUGCAUACAAGCCAACUUGUAUUUUGAUGUUUUUGCACAACACAAUUAACUUAAAUCCUAACAAAGGUCUUGAUUUAAGUUUAUUUUUGCACAUAAAAUUUCUACACAAAAAACUAAACUAAAACUGUUAUUUUUGUCUGACACACAUCAUCUCUUACAAUGUUGUGUACAACAGCUUGGGGCAUUGGUCACAAAAAAAUAUCCAAAAGUAUGACCUAAGCAUUUUGUAAAACUAAGCUCAGACAAGUUAACUUUGUCUUUCAUCACCUAUGAAUCAAAAGCUGAGGUUGAGUUAUGUCUAAACUGUUUGUCUCUCAAAGGGCUAGAUUUCAACUUGCUUGUCCAGAUCUUUUUUUUUUUCCCCCCCAACAUUGUUGUGAAAUAGAAUUAAAUUUUCAGAAUGUGUUGCACUUUGUAAACAGCCCUCCAAUUAGUUCAUUUACACGUGAGUUGGAUUAUCUACAAAGACAAAUAAAACCAUGGUCAAGGAAUGUGAACAUAUAAAAAGAAAGACCCUCUUCUGCUGUGAAACUAAAGUUCCAUUGUUAAGGCAAAAAAGAGAUAAUGGUUUUGGUAGUGCUUUUUGACCCUCUGAGGUAUCCCUGCCACCACGCCCAACUGCAGACAAAAGCAACUGAAAUAGCUUAUUGUAAUUUUUCAUAGUACAAAAAAAAUGCAUACCAACUCUGCGUAUCGUGACUGAUAGCUAAACAACGACAAAAAACAAAACAAAUAAACAUUGCAUUCUUGCAUGUUUGGUUAAAAUGUUUAGAUGGAAGGUGUAGGGAUUUUUAUAAAAAGCAGUUAUUCUGCCAAAGUCUUAUUUAACUGAUAAACUAAUUAGCUUUAUUAUGCUCAUGUUAUAACAGUCUGCAGAAUAAAUAAAGCCGAAGAUAACAGAAGAAUGCCGACUUUACAACAUUGCACCUGUUGUUAUGAGUUCAAUGGAGUUCAGUUUUCUAUCCACAGGUUGCCUGAGGCUACCUUGCUGAUGAUUACACAGUUUAUGUUAAUGGUCCCACUAGCGCCGCUCUGGGAGCAGUGCAGUGCCUGCAUAUGUGUGCAUGUGUAAAGUGCCUGGCGGGGGCGGAGGGCAUCGACGGCCUAUUCAAACAGACCAGAGAAAAUAGAUAGUGGGGUUUUUAGGCUGGCAUAGAUAGUAAACUGGUCUGACCGGUGUGUGUGAGCAGCUGGGGGCUUCAGCGCGCCCAAAACAUGAGCAGGGGACUGCAAAAACGAAACGAGUAUCCGUGAAGGCUGCGUAGGAGAGCCAAAAUUUUACUUCGGCUCAUGUGCAGGCAUGUGACAGGAGGUGGUUUAUAGGUGAAUGGUAGUGAAGUAAAGUGAACGCCGCCGACACACACGUUGAGAACGAACUCAGCUUUGUCUCGCGGGCGAGUAUUUCUGAAGAUGCUGACGAUAAGCAGAUUGAUGGGGAACAUGAUGAUGGAACUUUGAAAUCCAACCAUAACCUGCUGCCAGGUGAACUCAAUGUGACCUGCAACAUAAAGGUAGGUUUUAAGUUUAGUCUAAUUUUAUACAGUAAAGCAACAGGUAAAAAAUUUUAUUAGGACUUUUAAUAUUUGUUUUUUUUAGCAGAUUAUGUAAAACAUUAUGGUGGAUUAUGAUUAUGAAAAAUGGAAAAUGUGAUUUCUUCCUGCUGCAUGACUUAAUUAACUUCUUUGAGCAGAGGAAGCAAAGAGAACAUGGAGAGGAGUUGGAGAAAAACUUGGUUGAAGAAUGAAAAGACUAAUUAUCACAACAUCAGUGACAAAAACAAAGAAAUAU